rnacentral:lncRNA from 1 species
CGUAUCAAUAUUCUAUUGACCAAUUAACUAAUUUACCUAAAAAUGAACUUUAAACUAACCACUUCCAUACUACUAGUAAGGAACAGAAAAAGAAAAUAAAUGGAUGGGCCAUUUUUUUGGUUCAAAAAAUAAAUUAAUAGAGAGUGGAGUAAUUAUUACUAGUAUUUUCCCAAACAAUACAAUAGACAAUAGUAGUAGUAAUGCCGUGAAUUGAUGGGAGUAUGAUGAUGGUCUUGGUUCAAGGUUGAUGUAUGUAGUGCUACAUUUCUUACCGUUUGAUGUAAUCAUAAAACCUAAUUUGAUUUUUGAUUUCUUGACGCAUAGUGGAGUAGUACUACAUAUAAUUAACUGCUACCAAUUUACGAGACCUACUUACCUACUCAACUUUCUUCUACCUACCAACCACUUUAUUGCUGCUUCUGGUGGCAUAAAAACAAGUUAGAUGGAGUAGGUUUGUUUGUUUGUUUGAUGGCAAUGCUAAUGCAUGAUUGAAAUAAAAAAAACAAAAAGAAAA